rnacentral:rRNA from 1 species
AAUAUUGGACAAUGGGCGAAAGCCUGAUCCAGCCAUGCCGCGUGUGUGAAGAAGGNCUNNGGAUUNUNAAGCACUUUUGGCAGNNNNNAAAAGGCUCUGGCUAAUACCUGGAGCUGCUGACGGUACCUGCAGAAUAAGCACCGGCUAACUACGUGCCAGCAGCCGCGGUAAUACGUAGGGUGCAAGCGUUAAUCGGAAUUACUGGGCGUAAAGCGUGCGCAGGCGGUUCGGCAAGAAGGAUGUGAAAUCCCAGGGCUUAACCUUGGAACUGCAUUCUUAACUGCCGGGCUAGAGUAUGUCAGAGGGGGGUAGAAUUCCGCGUGUAGCAGUGAAAUGCGUAGAGAUGCGGAGGAAUACCGAUGGCGAAGGCAGCCCCCUGGGAUAAUACUGACGCUCAUGCACGAAAGCGUGGGGAGCAAAC